UACGUAGGGCGCAAGCGUUAUCCGGAAUUAUUGGGCGUAAAGAGCUCGUAGGCGGUUUGUCGCGUCUGCCGUGAAAGUCCGGGGCUCAACUCCGGAUCUGCGGUGGGUACGGGCAGACUAGAGUGAUGUAGGGGAGACUGGAAUUCCUGGUGUAGCGGUGAAAUGCGCAGAUAUCAGGAGGAACACCGGUGGCGAAGGCGGGGCUCUGGGCCGUAACUGACGCUGAGGAGCGAAAGCGUGGGGAGCGAACAGG
rnacentral:rRNA from 1 species